AUUGAACGCUGGCGGCAGGCUUAACACAUGCAAGUCGAGCGAGCGGCGGACGGGUGAGUAAUGUCUGGGAAACUGCCCGAUGGAGGGGGAUAACUACUGGAAACGGUGGCUAAUACCGCAUACCAUCAGAUGUACCCAGAUGGGAUGAGCUAGUAGGUGGGGUAAAGGCUCACCUAGGCGACGAUCACUAGCUGGUCUGAGAGGCUGAGGAGCCACACUGGAACUGAGACACGGUCCAGACUCCGACGGGAGGCAGCAGUGGGGAAUAUUGACAAAUGGGGGCAAGCCGGCUGCAGCCAUGCCGGGUGUUUGAAAAAGGCCUUCGGUUUGUAAAGUACGUUCAGCGAGGAGGCGUUACUCGCAGAAGAAGCACCGGCUAACUCCGUGCCAGCAGCCGCGGUAAUAC
rnacentral:rRNA from 1 species